GAUGGAGCAGUUCGCGCCGUGGUGCGCGCGCGCCAGGGCUUAGGCUCCAAGUAAAGGCCUUCUUCAUCCAUCCACCCACAACCAGGGGGCCUCAUAAGACCUGUUGAGGGGCCCUGCAACACUGUAUACAGAAUCGCCUAUUUAAGAUGGCAAAGUACCCGUGGAGACACUGAUGAAAACUAUGGACUUUCUCCAGAAAAAUACACCCAAAAUACAAUUUUGAGACCAGCAUCCAGGCUCUGAAGACCUGUGACAGCCAUCCAUGGAGUCAUGUUAAGAACCUCCACUCCAACUAACCCAAAGCUCACAGCCCUGGAGGAGAAGAAGCCUGUUUGGGGAAUUCUACCUUGGCUCCAUGUCUCUGAAGAGGCUUGUCCCAGGGAAUAUAAUGGGAUCCUCGCUCACACACAACCCAACAGCCGACCCACAAUGGCACACCUCCCAGUUAUUGCCUUAGUCCGGCAAACCCCUGGCUAAGCAUCCACAGCCGAGCUGAGGGCAGUGAGAAAAGUUCAAGUCGCCAGCUGAAGUGGUCUUUAACACCCCCCCCCCGGCCUUCUCAGCCUCACUGUUUAUCCAUAUGAAGCGCUCUCCUUCCCGGCCCACUUCCACCCCCACCUUUCUGAGAUCGGCUAUAAAAAUAAACUAUUUUUCCU